GAUGAACGCUGGCGGCGUGCCUAAUACAUGCAAGUCGAGCGAAUGGAUUAAGAGCUUGCUCUUAUGAAGUUAGCGGCGGACGGGUGAGUAACACGUGGGUAACCUGCCCAUAAGACUGGGAUAACUCCGGGAAACCGGGGCUAAUACCGGAUAACAUUUUGAACCGCAUGGUUCGAAAUUAAAUGGCGGCUUCGGCUGUCCCUUAUGGAUGGACCCGCGUCGCAUUAGCUAGUUGGUGAGGUAACGGCUCACCAAGGCAACGAUGCGUAGCCGACCUGAGAGGGUGAUCGGCCACACUGGGACUGAGACACGGCCCAGACUCCUACGGGAGGCAGCAGUAGGGAAUCUUCCGCAAUGGACGAAAGUCUGACGGAGCAACGCCGCGUGAGUGAUGAAGGCUUUCGGGUCGUAAAACUCUGUUGUUAGGGAAGAACAAGUGCUAGUUGAAUAAGCUGGCACCUUGACGGUACCUAACCAGAAAGCCACGGCUAACUACGUGCCAGCCGCCGCAGUAA
rnacentral:rRNA from 1 species